CCUACGGGUGGCAGCAGUGGGGAAUAUUGCACAAUGGGGGAAACCCUGAUGCAGCGACGCCGCGUGAGUGAAGAAGUACUUCGUUAUGUAAAGCUCUAUCAGCAGGGAAGAAAAUGACGGUACCUGAGUAAGAGUCCCCGGCUAACUCCGUGCCAGCAGCCGCGGUAAUACGUAGGGGGCGAGCGUUAUCCGGAUUUACUGGGGGUAAAGGGAGCGUAGACGGCAGUGCAAGUCUGGAGUGAAAGGCGGGGGCUCAACCCCCGGACUGCUCUGGAAACUGGACGGCUGGAGUGCAGGAGAGGUAAGUGGAAUUCCUGGUGUAGGGGUGAAAUGCGUAGAUAUCAGGAGGAACACCGGUGGCGAAGGCGGCCUGCUGGACUGCGACUGACGUUGAGGCCCGAAAGCGUGGGGAGCAAACAGGAUUAGAUACCCGUGUAGUC
rnacentral:rRNA from 1 species